AGAAAGAAAAUUACUCAUAAAAGAUAGAAAAAAAAGGAAAAUAUGACAAUUUUUCAGCAGUACGUAUUUUUUUAACCUUUGUAUUUUGUUUAUACAAUCAAAAAGUGAUUAUGAACCAGAAAUUUCUAUUAAAUAUUGUAAGCUAAAUAUUUAUAUUAAGUACAUCCUCAAUUAUAUAAAUCAAUCAAACAUGUAAUGAGUAACAAACCUUGACAUUAAUUAGUUUAGAAAGAUAUGUAUUGAACAUCAAAAUUAAUUAAAUAUAUACUUAUAUCCUAAAGAACAUAAAAUGUCAUCUUCUAUAUUCUUAUAAUUAAACAAUUAACAUAAGUUAUACAUAUUAAAAAUAUGCUAAAAUACUAAAUAUAAGUAGAAAAUGAACGAGAGAAAAAGAAAAUAGAAUAAUUACAAGAAAAUGAAAAACAAAAAAGAAAAUAUAAUAAUUACAAGAAAAUGAAAAUGAGACCGUAUGGUAUAAAGGAAACCAACUCAAUCAUUUUUCCAGUGUUACAUUAGCAUCACCUUUAUUAUUGUGAGAUCCUCAUAAUCCUUACAAACAUCUCAAUAUCAUAAAAACGAUAUGAAAAACCCUAUCAUAAUCAUUGGUGAUGGAAGAAUAAAAUUGAAAAUAAGAGGAAACACAGAUGAAUAGAGAGACAAAAUAAACAACUUAGAGAUGUGUAACCUUCAAAAGAUUAACCUAUAUCAGAAAUCAAUUGAUCCGUACAUUUGAUAGAUAAGAAAGAAAAUUACUCAUAAAAGAUAGAAAAAAAAGGAAAAUAUGACAAUUUUUCAGCAGUACGUCUUUUUUUAACCUUUGUAUUUUGUUUAUACAAUCAAAAAGUGAUUAUGAACCAGAAAUUUCUAUUAAAUAUUGUAAGCUAAAUAUUUAUAUUAAGUAAAUCCUCAAUUAUAUAAAUCAAUCACACAUGUAAUGAGUAACAAACCUUGACAUUAAUUAGUUUAGAAAGAUAUGUAUUGAACAUCAAAAUUAAUUAAAUAUAUACUUAUAUCCUAAAGAACAUAAAAUGUCAUCUUUUAUAUUCUGAUAAUUAAAUAAUUAACAUAAGUUAUAUAGAUUAAAAAAUAUGCUAAAAUAUUAAUGAUAAGUAGAAAAUGAAAAAGAAUAAUUACAAGAAAAUGAAAAAGAAAAAAAGAAAAUAGAAUAAUUACAAGAAAAUGAAAAUGAGACAGUACGUAUUAAAGGAAACCAACUCAAUCAUUUUUCCAGUGUUACAUUAGCACCACCUUUAUUAUUGUGAGAUCCUCAUAAUCCUAACAAACAUCUCAAUCUCUUCAAAACAAUACAAAAAACCCUAUCAUAAUCAUUGGUGACGUAGGAAAAAAUUGAAAAUAAGAGGAAACACAGAUGAAUAGAGCGACAAAAUAAACAUGUUAGAGAUGUGUAAGCUUCAAAAUAUCA
rnacentral:lncRNA from 1 species